rnacentral:tRNA from 1 species
GCCGGUGUAGCUCAGAGGCAGAGCAGCUGAUUCGUAAUCAGCUGGCCGGGGGUUCGACUCCCCCCACCGGCUCCA